GAUGAAGAACGCAGCGAAAUGCGAUACGUAAUGUGAAUUGCAGAAUUCAGUGAAUCAUCGAAUCUUUGAACGCAUAUUGCGCUCUCUGGUAUUCCGGAGAGCAUGCUUGUUUGAGUAUCAGUAAACACCUCAACUUCCAUAUCUUUUUUGAAAUGGGAGUUGGACUUGAGUGAUCCCAACGCUUUUCCUCACCGAAAAGUGGCGGGUUACUUGAAAUGCAGGUGCAGCUGGACUUUUCUCUGAGCUAUAAGCAUAUCUAUUUAGUCUGCCUAAAAAACAGAUUAUUACCUUUGCUGCAGCUAACAUAAAGGAGAUUAGUUCUUGUGCUGACUGAUGCAAGAUUCACAAAGACAGCUUCGGCCGACUUUGUAAACUCGAUCUCAAAUCAAGUAAGACUACCCGCUGAACUUAAGCAUAUCAAUAAGCGGAGGA
rnacentral:misc_RNA from 1 species